rnacentral:tRNA from 1 species
CAGAAAGUAGAUCAAUGGUAGAUGACGUGCUUUGGGAGCACGGGGUUGCAAGUUCGAGUCUUGCCUUUCUGACCA